rnacentral:rRNA from 1 species
AAUGAACGCUGGCGGCAGGCCUAACACAUGCAAGUCGAACGGGAUCUUCGGAUCUAGUGGCGGACGGGUGAGUAACGCGUGGGAACGUACCCUUUGCUUCGGAAUAGCCUCGGGAAACUGGGAGUAAUACCGAAUGUGCCCUUCGGGGGAAAGAUUUAUCGGCAAAGGAUCGGCCCGCGUUGGAUUAGCUAGUUGGUGGGGUAAUGGCCCACCAAGGCGACGAUCCAUAGCUGGUUUGAGAGGAUGACCAGCCACACUGGGACUGAGACACGGCCCAGACUCCUACGGGAGGCAGCAGUGGGGAAUCUUAGACAAUGGGGGCAACCCUGAUCUAGCCAUGCCGCGUGAGUGAUGAAGGCCUUAGGGUUGUAAAGCUCUUUCGCUGGGGAAGAUAAUGACUGUACCCAGUAAAGAAGCCCCGGCUAACUCCGUGCCAGCAGCCGCAGUAA